rnacentral:rRNA from 1 species
AACGAACGCUGGCGGCAUGCCUAACACAUGCAAGUCGAACGAAGUCUUCGGACUUAGUGGCGCACGGGUGCGUAACGCGUGGGAAUCUGCCCUUGGGUGCGGAAUAACUUCUCGAAAGGGAUGCUAAUACCGCAUAAUGUCGUAAGACCAAAGAUUUAUCGCCCAAGGAUGAAGCCCGCGUAAGAUUAGCUAGUUGGUGGGGUAAAAGCCUACCAAGGCGACGAUCUUUAGCUGGUCUGAGAGGAUGAUCAGCCACACUGGGACUGAGACACGGCCCAGACUCCUACGGGAGGCAGCAGUGGGGAAUAUUGCGCAAUGGGCGAAAGCCUGACG